AAGAAUCUUUUUCACCUCGGUGGGAAAUUGAGGUUCCCUUUUUAUUGGCAACAAAACCCUACUAAGUUUAAUAGCUCCCAAGGUCUUGUUAGACUGCUUUCGAUGAGGCCGACAUUGAUAAGCCACAAUCAUUACCUCGUCCUUUGAAUAUAAAAAAGCAUAUUUUCUCUGUCUAGCUCGAAGGAUAAGGAGAGAAGUCUAGAAAUCUGAUGGGGAAAAGUAAUGAUGUGAACUUAAGGCCAAGUUUAAUACCGAGGAGGCGAAGAUUCCUGAGGUUGGCAAGGAAGAUUCUUGUGCUCACUGACCUCGCCAUAAGAUAAGGAAACUUCCCAAGACCUCUGGGAAUUUGGAUAUGGGGUUGGUGACAUUGAAAGUUGCUGCUUCUUUGGUUCCCAUUGAUUUGAUCAAGAGUCCUCCCCUGCUAACCCUGCCGAUUGAGCUUAACCUAAAGGAUGUUUCCCAAGGCAGUCGAUUAGUGUCUUAUCUUUUCUAGUAGGAUGUUCCGGUGAGCUCGAUUGCCUUGGUUGUCAAUGUUAAGGUCGAUGAGGGAGCUACUCACCCCACCAUGAUGCCAUCGGACUUGAAAACUACUCCUGCAACUCUGUCAUGAUGCAUUCACCAGAGGUUCAACGUGAAUCAACCUUUGGCUAGGUUGGACCACGUCAGCAUGUUGCCGGAUGUGACCUCCUUAUGGAACCCUAAUCUGACUGUAGAGAGUUUUUGCAAGGAGGACUUUGCAUAUGUGGCUGACAAAGCCAUCAUUGAAAAGGUGGGGCCAAUUUAGGGGCUCAAUUCUGCCUAGGUAUUUAUGCAGCAAUCCAUUGAAAUAGUGAACCACUAGAAGCGCAAGUGGCAAAAGAGCCUGACAAAGUUGGAGAAGGCUAAGAAGGCAUAGGCUGAGGUGGAGGGGGUGAAGAAAGAAUUGGAAAAGAUGAAAAAUUCCUUCUUUGUCAUUGUGAAAGCCAACGAGAUUUACACUGGUAAGGUGAACGAGUUGCUGGAAAAGGUUAAAAUUGUCGAGGUUGUGGUAGAAAAUGUUAGGGUCCAAGCUCGUUCUCUCUAGGAAGAGAAUGAGGUCUUGAGGGAGAAACUUCUGGUUGUCAAGGAGAAACAUAGAAAUAACGAGGCUCUUCUUGUUGCCCAUGCUGAGGAGAUUAAAAAACUAAAAAUAGAGGCCAGAGUCCUAACUUCAGCAAAACAGGGUGUGGAGAAGGAGCUCCUUGAGACCAAAUGCCACGUCGUCAUUGAGCAUAAGAAGGGUUUCUCUAAGGUAAUUCAUUAGGUUAAGGUACUUGCCCCUAAGUUUGACGUUGCUUCCUUAUGUAUUAAUAAGGAUGUUUGUAGCAGCCAAUUGGUGGAUGAGGAUGACAUUUUUGACAACACUAGCGAGGAGAGUGCUUGAGCAUGCAUCAUUAUUUUUCUAGUAGACUUUGCUUUGUUUUUGUGUUUUCAUUCUUUUCUCUUUUGUUGAUUUUCCUUUUGUCCUGUUGUAUUUUUAACUCACAUAAUGAGUAUUUAUAGUUUCAACACAUCUUUUUCUUUCGA